GUAAAUCAGCUUUUUUUAAAAAUGCUUCUUAAAUACAAAACUGCUGAAGUGAUUUAUAAAUUAAUGGAUUUCUUUUGUCAUUUCAUAUUAGUAAUCAUUCAUUCAUACAUUGCUGUGACACGGUAUUACUUGGAUACUCUUUCGACUGACUAAGGCAGACAUUAUAAUGUAGCUAAAGAGUUUUCUUAAGACGUUACUUUAUUAUAUCACUUUCGAAGGAUCUUCACUAUACGUUUCGGGUUAAUGAUCGAACCUUGGUUAUGUGGUAGCUGAGAGACCACUUCCUUCCACUACACUAUGUAUGAAACACAUUGCACUCGGCAUUAUCGGGGUUACCACCGGCUGGAAAUAUGCAUAUAGUUAUUCUUUUAAUUGUUAACCUGUAAUGGUUUUUCGAUAACACUAUUUCACUUGUUCUUUUAUAGGAUUUAGUAGAGUUCUGCCAGGUAACGAGAAAAGUUUUAUGAGGAAACAAUUCGUCAGACGACCUUUACAUUUUCCAGUCUGACGGCAGACCAGGGUCUAAAGUUGAACCAAUUGCGCAUACCAUGAUCGACCGUUGGUUGAAAAGGGCCUGGAAGAAAGCUGUCAUGUCAGGCCACUACCCUGGAAUUGUGCCUUCAUUAACUCGCAAUAGGAAGGUUAUUACAACAGACGUGAGACGACGAAAACGGGAUUUCGCAGAGGACGUUGCGAGUAUGCUGUGUCACAAGAAAACAACGGCUGAUAGGCACUAUGACCUUGUGGAGCAAGUGUAAACAAAGGAGCCAAAGUACAUACACUGAACUCUACGGGGAAAAUAAAAGAACAACACCAAGUAUCACCUUCACAGCAAGGACCGAAGAAGAGCAGAGCCAGCUGGCCCAUGACAUGGUUAAAAGAUGCUGUGUAAAAUUAACAAGACUCACAAACAACAACUCACUAAGUACAAAAUAGCAGAGCCAGAUGAGGACAUGGAAAACUUAAAGAGAGCUAUGGAGGAUUUCGACUUUUACAAGCGGCAGGUGGAGGAAGGGGAUGAGGAGGAUACAGUUCCUCCAUCUCCGACCUCCACCAAGUCUUCACGUUUCGUCGGGAUUUGGCCAUCAAAAAUGGAAAAGCUGUUCUGGACGGAGGAGUAGACUGAAGAGUUAGAGGAGGUGUUUGCUGAGGCUAUUAAGCUGUCAGCUUUCUCAAAGCGACGGUACCCAUGAGUGUGGUAAACGAGUUACGAGCCGGGAAAUGGGGUAGAUUCACCAACACUCAGGUUAGAGAGGUUAGGAACCUGGUCAAGCAGAGACCGAAGAAGACUGUGUGAAGAAAUAAAUUGUGAUUGUGAUAAUUGUGAUUUUGUUAAUUUGUUUCAGAUUAAGGAAGAUCCAGAAUUUGAAAAACUGAACUGUUGAAUGUCGGCGCGAGAACCACAAUCGUACAAAAUGUAAAACCAAAGGAAACACCGUGGGUUUUACACAUUGUGCAAACUGUGGUUCUCACGCCGACAUUCAUAAAGUCAGUAUUACACAUUCUGCAUUUUCCUUAAACAAUGUUUUUUAUUUAUUUAUUUAUCAGUCAAUUAAUUUGUUUAUACAUAAUUUAUUGUUUAUUUAUUCAUUUCUUCCUUAAAUUAUGUAUU
rnacentral:lncRNA from 1 species